rnacentral:rRNA from 1 species
AAGUCGUAUACAAGGUUUCCGUAGGUGAACCUGCGGAAGGAUCAUUA